GCGCUAGUGGUUCAGUGGUGGAAUUCUCACCUUCCGUACGGGAAGCUCAGGUCCAAUUCCUGGCCAACGCA
rnacentral:tRNA from 1 species